GGACUACCAGGGUAUCUAAUCCUGUUUGCUCCCCACGCUUUCGCGCCUCAGCGUCAGAACCGGUCCAGAUGGCCGCCUUCGCCACCGGUGUUCUUCCCAAUAUCUACGAAUUUCACCUCUACACUGGGAAUUCCGCCAUCCUCUCCCGGCCUCAAGCACGACAGUAUCAAGCGCAAUUCCCGGGUUGAGCCCGGGGCUUUCACGCCUGACUUGUCGCGCCGCCUACGCGCCCUUUACGCCCAGUGAUUCCGAACAACGCUAGCCCCCUUCGUAUUACCGCGGCUGCUGGCAC
rnacentral:rRNA from 1 species